rfam:Daphnia pulex DAPPTscaffold_296_Cont8429, whole genome shotgun sequence.
GUCAGGAUGGCCGAGCGGUCUAAGGCGCCAGACUCAAGGACAUAAUAAAAUAAGAUAAUCUUGCUUCAAUAAAAUAAGUUGCAGUAUUCUGGUCUUCAAUGAAGGCGUGGGUUCAAAUCCCACUUCUGACA